rnacentral:rRNA from 1 species
UUUUGAGUUUGAUCUGGGUCAGGAGAACGCCGGGGGCUGCCUAUACAUGCAAGUUGGGCGGACCGACGGGAGCUGCUCCCUUAGGUAAGCGCCGGACGGGUGAGUAACACGUGGGUAACUUGCCUGUAAGAUUGGGAUAAUCCGGGAAACCGGGGUUAUUACCGGAUGCUUGAUUGAACCGCAUGGUUCAAUCAUAAAAGGUGGCUUUUAGCUACCACUUACAGAUGGACCCGCGGCGCAUUAGCUAGUUGGUGAGGUAACGGCUCACCAAGGCGACGAUGCGUAGCCGACCUGAGAGGGUGAUCGGCCACACUGGGACUGAGACACGGCCCAGACUCCUACGGGAGGCAGCAGUAGGGAAUCUUCCGCAAUGGACGAAAGUCUGACGGAGCAACGCCGCGUGAGUGAUGAAGGUUUUCGGAUCGUAAAACUCUGUUGUUAGGGAAGAACAAGUACCGUUCGAAUAGGGCGGUACCUUGACGGUACCUAACCAGAAAGCCACGGCUAACUACGUGCCAGCAGCCGCGGUAAUACGUAGGUGGCAAGCGUUGUCCGGAAUUAUUGGGCGUAAAGCGCGCGCAGGCGGUUUCUUAAGUCUGAUGUGAAAGCCCCCGGCUCAACCGGGGAGGGUCAUUGGAAACUGGGGAACUUGAGUGCAGAAGAGGAGAGUGGAAUUCCACGUGUAGCGGUGAAAUGCGUAGAGAUGUGGAGGAACACCAGUGGCGAAGGCGACUCUCUGGUCUGUAACUGACGCUGAGGCGCGAAAGCGUGGGGCGCCGAACAGGAUUAGAUACCCUGGUAGUCCACGCCGUAAACUGUAUUGUAAUUGGGGCACAGCUGUCUCUAUGCAGGG